rnacentral:rRNA from 1 species
GAUGAACGCUGACAGAAUGCUUAACACAUGCAAGUCGAUGGGGAAGUGGUGCUUGCACCAUGGUAACCAUGGCGGACGGGUGAGUAACGCGUAAGGAACUUACCUGCGGGACCGGGAUAACAGCAGGAAACUGCUGACAAGACCGGAUAAGGUCAUUAAGCUGCAUAGCUUAGUGAUGAAAGGAGACGCCUGCGGAGAGCCUUGCGUCCUAUUAGCUAGUUGGAGGGGUAACGGCCCACCAAGGCGAAGAUAGGUAGCCGGCCUGAGAGGGUGGACGGCCACAAGGGGACUGAGAUACGGCACUUACUCCUACGGGAGGCAGCAGUGGGGAAUAUUGGACAAUGGGGGCAACACUGAUCCAGCAAUUCUGUGUGCACGAAGACGGUUUUCGGAGUGUAAAGUGCUUUCAGCAGGGAAGAAGGAAGUGACGGUACCUGCAGAAGAAGCGACGGCUAAAUACGUG